ACUUACCUGACCAAUUUAGUGAAUUAGAUUUCGAUUAGAUUGCUAAGUGAUUCGAGUUAACCCAUGCCAUUAAGGUUGAUCAAUGUGACUAAUCUAGGUAUCGUUUCAAUCAGCAUGAUCCUAAUCCGAUUCAGUGACUUAGUGAAGUCAGUGGGAGGAUUAUGGUCUACUGAUUGAUUUUUUUUUUUUUAAAUCAAAAUUAAAUUUUCUAAAUUAUUAGGUCACUUAAACGAGCUAGUUAUAAUGA
rnacentral:lncRNA from 1 species